rnacentral:rRNA from 1 species
UACGGAGGGAGCUAGCGUUGUUCGGAAUUACUGGGCGUAAAGCGCGCGUAGGCGGCUUUGUAAGUUAGAGAUGAAAGCCCGGAGCUCAACUCCGGAACUGCCUUUAAGACUGCAUCGCUUGAAUCCAGGAGAGGUGAGUGGAAUUCCGAGUGUAGAGGUGAAAUUCGUAGAUAUUCGGAAGAACACCAGUGGCGAAGGCGGCUCACUGGACUGGUAUUGACGCUGAGGUGGCGAAAGCGUGGGGAGCAAACAGG